rnacentral:rRNA from 1 species
AUGCAAGUCGAACGGGGGCUUCGGCCCCCGUGGCGAACGGUCGCCUAACACCUAAGCAACCUGCCCUGAAGUGGGGGACACAUUCCGAAAGGGGUGCUAAUACCGCAUGUGGUCACCAGUCCGCAUCCACUUGUGUCUAAAGAUUUAUCGCUUCCGGAUGGGCUUGCGGCCUAUCAGGUAGUUGGUGGGGUAAUGGCCUACCAAGCCGACGACGGGUAGCUGGUCUGAGAGGACCAUCAGCCGGAUUGGGACUGAGAUACGGCCCAGACUCCUACGGGGGGCAGCAAUUAGGAAUCUUGCGCAAUGGGGGAAACCCUGACCCAGCGACCUCCCGUGAAGGAUGAAGGCCCUCGGGUCCUAAACUUCUUUUGAGUGGGAAGAAAUUUGACGGUACCACUCCAAUAAGCCCCGGCUAACUACCUGCCAGCAGCCGCGGUAAUACGUAGGGGGCGAGCGUUGUCCCAAGUUACUGGGCGUAAAGCGCGCGUAGGCGGUUAUUUAAGUCUGGGGUGAAAGGUUCAGCGCUCAACGUGAACAGUGCCUUGGAUACUGGAUGACUUGAGUCUGGGAGGGGGAAGGGGAAUUCCUGGUGUAGCGGUGAAAUGCGUAGAUAUCAGGAGGAACACCGGUGGCGAAGGCGCCUUCCUGGCCUAAGACCUGACGCUGAGGUGCGAAAGCGUGGGGAGCAAACGGGAUUAGAUAC